rnacentral:rRNA from 1 species
GAUGAACGCUGGCGGCGUGCCUAAUACAUGCAAGUCGAGCGAACGGACGAGAAGCUUGCUUCUCUGAUGUUAGCGGCGGACGGGUGAGUAACACGUGGAUAACCGACCUAUAAGACUGGGAUAACUUCGGGGAACCGGAGCUAAUACCGGAUAAUAUUUUGAACCGCAUGGUUCAAAAGUGAAAGACGGUCUUGCUGUCACUUAUAGAUGGAUCCGCGUUGCAUUAGCUAGUUGGUAAGGUAACGGCUUACCAAGGCAACGAUGCAUAGCCGACCUGAGAGGGUGAUCGGCCACACUGGAACUGAGACACGGUCCAGACUCCUACGGGAGGCAGCAGUAGGGAAUCUUCCGCAAUGGGCGAAAGCCUGACGGAGCAACGCCGCGUGAGUGAUGAAGGUCUUCGGAUCGUAAAACUCUGUUAUUAGGGAAGAACAUAUGUGUAAGUAACUGUGCACAUCUUGACGGUACCUAAUCAGAAAGCCACGGCUAACUACGUG